rnacentral:rRNA from 1 species
UAAGGUAGCGAAAUUCCUUGUCGGGUAAGUUCCGACCUGCACGAAUGGCGUAACGACUUCCCCACUGUCUCCAGCAUCGACUCAGCGAAAUUGAAGUCCCCGUGAAGAUGCGGGGUACCCGCGGUCAGACGGAAAGACCCCGUGAACCUUUACUGCAGCUUGGCUGUGGCACCGAAAAUAAUAUGUGUAGGAUAGGUGGGAGGCUUUGAAGCAGCGGCGCCAGUCGUUGUGGAGCCAUCCUUGAAAUACCACCCUUAUUCUUUUCGUUGUCUAACCGCGUCCCUGGAUGGGACCGGGACCCAGCCUGGCGGGCAGUUUGACUGGGGCGGUCGCCUCCUAAAGAGUAACGGAGGCGCGCGAUGGUGGGCUCAGACCGGUCGGAAAUCGGUCGUCGAGUGCAAUGGCAUAAGCCCGCCUGACUGCGAGACAGACAAGUCGAGCAGAGACGAAAG